AUGUGGCCAAGCUACUAAGGGCGUACGGUGGAUGUCUUGGCGUCGAGAGGCGAUGAAGGGCGUGGCAGACUGCGAUAAGCCCGGGGGAGCUGUCAAACAAGCGUUGAUCCCGGGAUCCCCGAAUCAUCACACGCUGAAUCCAUAGGCGUGUGAGGCGAUACCCGGCAAACUGAAACAUCUCAGUAGCCGGAGGAAAAGAAAGAAAACUCGAUUCCCUGAGUAGCGGCGAGCGAAAGGGGAAAAGCCUAAACCGUGGGGAUUUUCCCUGCGGGGUUGUAGGGCCUCCACAUGGGUGAUGUGACCGGUUAGCUGAACCGUCCUGGAAAGGCGGACCACAGAAGGUGACAGUCCUGUAAGCGAAAACUGGCUCACAGCCCGGAGGUACCUGAGUAGGUCGGGGCACGUGGAACCCCGACUGAAGCUACGGGGACCAUCCCGUAAGGCUAAAUACUCCUCGACGACCGAUAGUGGAC
rnacentral:rRNA from 1 species